rnacentral:rRNA from 1 species
UGAGGAAUAUUGGACAAUGGGCGCAAGCCUGAUCCAGCAAUGCCGCGUGCAGGAUGAAGGCCUUCGGGUUGUAAACUGCUUUUGUACGGAGCGAAAAGGUCUGCCCUAAUACGGUGGGCUCAUGACGGUACCGUAAGAAUAAGCACCGGCUAACUACGUGCCAGCAGCCGCGGUAAUACGUAGGGUGCGAGCGUUAAUCGGAAUUACUGGGCGUAAAGCGUGCGCAGGCGGUUAUAUAAGACAGGUGUGAAAUCCCCGGGCUCAACCUGGGACCUGCAUUUGUGACUGUAUAGCUAGAGUACGGUAGAGGGGGAUGGAAUUCCGCGUGUAGCAGUGAAAUGCGUAGAUAUGCGGAGGAACACCGAUGGCGAAGGCAAUCCCCUGGACCUGUACUGACGCUCAUGCACGAAAGCGUGGGGAGCAAACA